AUUGAACGCUGGCGGCAUGCCUUACACAUGCAAGUCGAACGGCAGCGGACCUUCGGGUGCCGGCGAGUGGCGAACGGGUGAGUAAUAUAUCGGAACGUACCUUUCAGUGGGGGAUAACGUAGCGAAAGUUACGCUAAUACCGCAUAUUCUGUGAGCAGGAAAGCGGGGGAUCGCAAGACCUUGCGCUGAUUGAGCGGCCGAUAUCAGAUUAGCUAGUUGGUGAGGUAAAGGCUCACCAAGGCGACGAUCUGUAGCGGGUCUGAGAGGAUGAUCCGCCACACUGGAACUGAGACACGGUCCAGACUCCUACGGGAGGCAGCAGUGGGGAAUUUUGGACAAUGGGCGCAAGCCUGAUCCAGCCAUGCCGCGUGAGUGAAGAAGGCCUCGGUUGUAACUACUUUGGUCAGGAACGAAACCUAGCGCUAUACGCGC
rnacentral:rRNA from 1 species